UGACAGGUGGUGCAUGGUUGUCGUCAGCUCGUGUCGCGAGAUGUUGGGUUAAGUCCCGCAACGAGCGCAACCCUCGACCUUAGUUGCCAGCAUUCAGUUGGGCACUCUAAGGUGACUGCCGGCUAAAAGUCGGAGGAAGGUGGGGAUGACGUCAAAUCAUCAUGCCCCUUAUGACCUGGGCUACACACGUGCUACAAUGGGCGGUACAAAGGGUCGCGAACCCGCGAGGGGGAGCCAAUCCCAAAAAGCCGCUCUCAGUUCGGAUUGCAGGCUGCAACUCGCCUGCAUGAAGCCGGAAUCGCUAGUAAUCGCGGAUCAGCAUGCCGCGGUGAAUACGUUCCCGGGCCUU
rnacentral:rRNA from 1 species